rfam:Bacillus sp. CHD6a contig37, whole genome shotgun sequence.
AAUGUCCUUCGGGGGUGGGUGAAAUUCCCUACCGGCGGUGAUGAAGCUUUAUGUUUCUUAGUCCGUGACCCGGUUUUCUUGAAUAGGAAAAGCGGUGGAUCUGGUGCAACUCCAGGGCCGACAGUUAAAGUCUGGAUGGGAGAAGGAUUAU